rnacentral:lncRNA from 1 species
UGGGACUGACAAUCCUACACCUUCACUAUUCGCUACAGUUUGACCGGCAGGCCUAGGGUGUCAAAUGUCAUAUCGUUUCCGACGCCUGAAGAACGUCGCAUCAGGCACAUCGGUCAUAUUAGUAUGGUUAAUAGAACUCACAUGGAUAAAACAACAAGUGAAUUACUAAGUAAUAUACUUCUCUUAGAACAGUAAGAAGAGAUAAUUACAUCCCGACCAAGUAUACCUUCUGUAGUUUUUACUUACAGUAAAAGCUACCUAUCAUGAAAUCAAGUAUGGUAAAUAUACUUGUACUUCUGGUUUUAAACAUUUAAAUACAUAAGGCAGUAUUAUGGAUAAUAUAAUAUUUUCCAGGAUUAAUACUAAGGUUUUUACUAUAGAACAUAUAUAACUAAGACUACUUUUACAAAUGAAACAAUUUAUGGAAUUAAACUACUUAUGAAAUGGAACAUAGUCAUUCAAUCUCUAUAAACUAGUAUAACAUAAAAGACCUUUAGUGGUUAAUUCUAUAAGUCCUUAGUUAUUACAUCAGAGUUAUAUAUAAGUAAUAUCCGAUUGAAAGGGAAAUGUGUGACUUCCGCCUUACUUCCUGUUCCUUGUUUGCUUGUGGGCUUAGGGCAGAUACGCCCAUUUAACUAUCAGUUCGAUAUUAGGUUAUACAUAAUUAGUAUAAACUAAGUAAUUACAAAUGGAAACUAUUGAGUUUAUCAGUUUAUCACCUCAGGAAAUAUAGGAUUUUCUGGAGGAACCAGUGAACUUUUCCAAAGAACCUAGAGUAUACUUAAUAGAACUAAAAUACUUAUGAACUCACCAGCUUAAAUGGUGAUCUAUUGUUUCCAAAUAACUUGUAUUCUCAGGAACCCAGUAGACAGGUACACUCCCGAAGCUCUUGAGAAGACUACCUAGUACCGUACCGCGACUCUUGUCUUCUACUGUACCUACUUUGUUGUUUGAAUAUGUAAUGUUUAAACACUUAUGUAAAACUUAUACUUAUUAAUGCAAUGGUUGUUUGUAUUUGGAUUACUAUAUUGCAUGUGUUGUGAUACUUACAUGAAGUCCUCCGCCCCCGAACGUUUCCGCCGUUCUGGUUUGGGGGUGUGAUAGAUUGGUAUCAGAGCAGUGUUUAUAGUGAACUUAGUGUAUCAGUCAUAAAAGAUAUACAACUAUAAACCCAUUGGGAUAAAAACACUCUGACCAAGAGUUAUACUUUAAAAAUAUAUCAACAUUUUAUAAAAGUAUAAGUACAUGCAGAGUAUAUAUACUAGAAUGAGUAUCACAAGAAGAACAAAACUAAAGUAUUUAGAUGUUGGACAUUGCAGUUUUACCUAGACAAUGAUGUAAUCAUAUAUGGGAUCAAUAUAUCCUGAUCAACUAUAUUCAUCCGAGAUAUGAAAACCAUGUGUUUAGGGGAGUGAUUGUAGUGUUGCAACUGGUCUAAAACUUACCUAAGUACUAGAAGAAUUCUAAAACCAAACAUAAAGACUAAAAUACUAUGGGGGUAUUUUAGGAUGCUAUAACAAGAAAACUGAGAACUUGUUAAGUUCUUUUAUCUAGAAGUCCAAGAAUCAAACGCAUAACUAAAAUAACAUGAAGCUAUGUUUCAUACCUUUGGGAAAAUGUUAAAAGAUCUGUUCUGAUAGGUCUAUAAUUACUAAGUGGAUACGUUAAGGUUAUAUAUAGCCGAGAUUUUAUAGACUUAGAAUAUGUGAUUUUCACUCUACUUCCUUUUCCUUGUUUGGAUGUGGUCUUAGAGUAGGAUUACUUAUUCAAAGGUCUAUUUGAUCUGGAUUAUAUAUAAUCGGUACACACCAUGUUAUUAUAGAAGGGCCAGAAAGAAUCACCUUUGUAAAAAAUUUCUCAUAGAUUCUUUAGACAUUCCCAUUCUCGUAUAAACCCGUUAGAUAAACAUAGUUACUCCAGCAAUCAAUAGAAGAGUCAAGGAGGAUCCAACAGAAUUUCACUAGGGGAAUCCCAAGAAAGAAACAUAUGAGAAGUACAUAAACUAUAGAAAUCAUUUAGUGCCUUUACCCUAUUAAGGACACCAAUGAGAUAUUCGCAUAAACUUCAGAGAUUCAAAAUCUUCAUUACGAAGUAAUGGGGAUCAGUGUCAGAAUCGGAAGUAAGAUAGCUCGGGAAUUCAAUAUACCUACAGAGGAGAAGGACACCCUAUAGAUACCAGGAGAGAACAAAUCAUUACCAUCCAGAAUAGAACAAAGAACAAGGGAAAACCACGCAUGAUUCAUGUGAAGUGUUCGAGCACCUUUUCAUCUUAGUAAUAACUAGUAAAUCUGUUCAACCUAGUGAGUUAGUGAUUUCAUUACUCACAUUAGGUUUGGAGCUUAUCCUCUUUUCCUGUUAUAGCUAAUGACCAUAAAUCAGAUCAUGGAAUCUUAAUUGAUAGUGAUUACUUCUCAAAUUCAUAAGUUUAUUCUAUGUAGACACCGUUAUGAAUUGUUUUCGAAUAUUUUCGAAAAUUGGGAAACAAUAUCCAUCAAGCGAAGGUAACUUAGUUCGGAUGAUACUCGGUUCCUAACCAUUUUAGAAACUUAACUAUGUUCCUUAACAGGACUGCAUCAUAGGGAUGCAGGUCGAAUCAUUAAGAACAAUAUAACAAAACGAAAGAUUAAUACAUAGAUACAAAUGGUUAGAAUACAUCUAGAGACACGAUAGUCGCUCAUAAAAUCAUUUUCUUAUCAUGUAACAAAAUCAUGCCUCCAAAGAAGUGUAACCAACCCACCAGCACAACACCAAUCCUUUAGAUAGAUGCAACUAUGUUUCAAGCUGCGGUUAUAGCAGCUGUAGCAGCUGUCAUGGCACACCUUAAUGCUAACAAUGCAAAUGUUAGUAGUAAUGCUAUCAGUAACCCCAAUCGUGGUGAUGGCCAAGUACAACCACAAGCACCUAUUUGUAAGAACAUCUCGAACCUUAAGCCUAAUAUCCUUAAACGAAAGUUCGAGAACAAGGAAGGGAGUUGUUUAACUCAAGAACCUAGCAGAGGGCAACGAACUGGGGCAGUCAAUUCCCCUAUCAGCCCUAUUAUUCUAGCACCAACCAAGUCGUAAUUAGGAAACCUCCCACACUGUAGAACUCCGGUCGAGUUCAUCACUUCAACUACCGAUGUUGGAAUCAUUCCCGUAUGUCUCCUUUGUGGUGAAAUAGGACAUUACAAGAGGGACUGUCCAAUAGAGAAGAACGACAUGGGAGCAGGAGGAUUUUGAUCCCAAAACAUAGGAAAGCAUCAAAGAACCCUGCUAUAUUUUGGUACGCUUCCAAACCCCGAUAACUAUUUAUAAUUAUGAUUACUCUUCCGUUCAAACUAAAUCAUAACACUUAUAUAAAAAUUUGAAACCCUAACUGGUAAGCAAUGAUGACUUAGUGUAUACAUAAGGGUCAUUUAUAAUUAAGAUUUGUAGACUUAGAGUGAGUAAUCCCGCCUCAUUUCCUGUUCCUUGUUUGGUUGUGGAUUUAGGGCAGGGUUGCUGAGUCUAAGGUUUUACCAAUCUUAAUUAUACAUGACUUGUAUGCACCAAGAAAUUAUAGAGAGACCUAAUAAGGAUUGUUUCAUGAAAGUUCAUACUUUCAAAUUAUCAGAACCCUCGUAUUGGUAGUACUCGCCAACUUCGAAUAAAAAAGGGGUUCGUAGUGAUAAUAACAGAAUAAAACUAGAAGCGCGGAAAACUUAGGUACAUAGGAUAUCAUUCUAGUAAUCACUCAUCCCAGAACGACUUAAUAUCUAUUUCAUCGAGAAAAUUCUGACAUCCUCAUUCGACAUGGUUUGGCCUGGCCCUUACCUUGUGAAAAUUCUUAUGCUGUAUAAGAGAACUUUUCCUUAAUCAGUCGUAAGAUGAAAUUCUUUCAAUCCAUAACACAAAAUCCUUAGGUUGCCUCUUGUUUCAAAACUUCAGAAGUACCCAUGCAAAGAGUACCACGCCAUUCUAGCCUACUCAGUAGAUAGGAAGCUUCAAACGAAAGCUCAAAAGUAGUCUUAGAAGUCAGUAACUACCGAAAUACCUCAAUAGAUCUCAUAGGAAAAGCAUUGUACCGUAGGUCAAGUUCAAGAAUAGAGACUAAGAACUCAUUAACUUAAUCUAUCGCUGCUAAGUGUAUACACGAGGGUGGUAUAUAAGUUAGACUUAACAAGAUUAAGGAUAUGUGCUUCCGCCCUAUCUCUUGUUCCUUGUUUGGUUGUGGACCUGGGGCAGAGUCACCCAUCUGAACGUUUUGUGAAAUCUAAAUUAUAUACGACUUGUAUACACGAGGUGAUGAUUGAUGAGCCAAGUAUGAGUCUAAUCAUGAACUUCGGGGAAAAAGCCAGCAUCAUGUAUUCUACCAGGUAGAAUUCAACAUGAGACCACGACAGUGGGUCGAGCUACUAAAUGACUACGAAUUUGAAAUUCGAUAUCAUCUCGACAAAGCCAAUAUAGUAGCUAACACCCUAAGUCGAAAAGAGUACCCAGGUCAUAGUUCCAAUCAUUAACUAUGAUAACCCAUUCAAAUCUCUCCACACAAAGUAAGGAGGCUCAACAGGAAGCCGUGAGACCUGAAAAUGUGGCUAGUAGAGAAGAUAACUAGAACGUGUGAGUGCACGAUAUACCAAUAUCUGUUAUCUCCAUUGAGAUAAUAGAAUCAUCUCCCAGUUUAGGCUGUCACUCAAAAAUCUCUAGGAACUAGAGUAGUCAUGAUUCGAUAGGAUCAGCUAUGGUAAAGAAUGGGUUACCCAUUUACCAAUUAGUCGAGACCAUUAUCACACUAGCAUUCAAGUUGCUCCAUUCAGAACCUUCUACAAUCACAAGUGCAGAUUCUAUCCACACAGGACUAAAGUAGGUAAUAUGCAACUAGCUAGAGAUCCAAUUUCCACACAACAUCCUCGCUGAUCUGGAAUUUAUCCGAGAAACUACCAAAAACAAAAUACGAAUCAGGAAAUGCCAUAAAGCUUCCCGAGUUAACCAAAGAAGCUAUAGCUUCGAUAAAAAAACCCUUGGAAUUCUAGGAUUGAUGACCUUAUCAUAUGAAGGUCUCACUCAGGAAGGACAAGAUGCGCUUGAGAAAGUGUGAAAUAGAAAAAUCAAAGUACAUAUGACCAUUUGAGGUUCUUACCAGAAUCGGUCUUUUACUUUUAAACUAAAACUACCACAAAAAACUUAAUAGCAUUCAUCCUAUCUUUCACAUAUCGAAUCUAAAGAGGUCUCUAUCCGAUAAAAUACUUGUUAUUUCACUUAAUGAAAUCAAGUUAAAUAAAAGUCUACACUCUGUAGAAGAAACAAUAAAAACCAUGGAUAAGGAAAAUCUGAAGAACCACGCUAAGUCUUAUCUUGUUAGUGAAGGUUCAUUGGAGUACAAACUAGGGACCAGGAUUCACUUGAGAAGGAAAGAUUAGAACUAGUCCAUGAGUAUCACUUUAGACUUAAUUUCGGGACGAAAUUCCCUCUAACGCGGGGAUAAUGUGACAUCAGUCAAAGUUUGGUCAAAAAUUAAUUGAUCAAUAAUCAUAAUUGGGAUGAACUAAUGGUAGAGUUUGUAACAAGGUUUCGAAAAACAUAAAGAACACUAAAAUCCGAGUUAUAACGAAGAAGUUAUGAUCAAUCGAAAAUCCGCGGUAAAACCGGCAAAACACUGUUCAGUGUAAAAAGUGAAUUUUCAAUAAAAGGAUUUUUAGCCUUAACAAUCUAAAUGAAACUUGUAGAAUAUAUUAAACCGAGAACGUUCAUAAAAAGAACGUGAAAAUCUGACUUCGCAUGAGGAAGUUAUGAUUUUUCGAAGUUUCAGUUUAGCAGUAGACAACUAAAAAUUCGAAAUAUAAAUCGAUCGAUAUUUAGCUGACGCAACUUAAACGAGAAUCAAAGGUCUCGUCAAAAGUACCACAACGGUAAAAAGACAGACGAAAACGGAUGUCGAAUGAAGAAGUUAUGAAUUUUUAACGGAUUCCCGUCCCGGUCUGUUUAGAAUAAUAAUAUUAAAAAUAAAUUCAAAACCGGCCGACGAAGUCUAAACGAAAGUCGUAGAGUAUGAUUUUAACUAUGCGUGCAUAUAAAGAAUGCCAAAAACGGAGCUCGUAUGCGAACAUUAUGAUUUUCCCAAGUUUUUGGCACAAAAAUGAAGAAAAUGUUGAAAACCGGGAAAUUUCGCUGAGUCACUCCUCGGACACGUCACCUCGCAUGCGAGGCCUCCACGUGUCAUUUGCGUGUGGCCUUCUGAUUGGACCAACUCCGAGGUCCACUAAGCUUCGGACAGGCUCACAGGAGACACCCCGCGGAUGCUCCUCGGACACGCUCAUCGCCUCGUGUACUCCUCCUAUUGGAACGAAGCAGGGCCCAAUCAGAAGCUGCCAGAUCCGAACCCUCGCACAUGGCUUUGCUGCUGACCGAUGUGUGGCUGCUGACUCACCCUCACCUCGCCACCUGUCCCCCUUCGGUCGAACCCUUGCACCCCUAUAUAUAGGGUGCGAGCCUUCUCGGAUUUGAAGGAUUUUUCACCCUAAAUUUCUCCAUUUUACACCAUUUCACCCCCUCGACUUUCUCACGACCCCUGAAGGCCCCAGUAUCGCAUCUAAAGCCCGAAGCAAGCCCCAGAGCCCCGAAAUUCUUGAGAAUUCAUCCUCUUUCCUGUCGAAAACCUGCCCGAUUUGAGCCAGUUUUACAUCAAACAAACUCUUUUCCGGGAAAUGAAACGCUGCCCGAAUCACCGCUUAUCAAAGUGAGUUGAUGCCCCUAUAAUUUACCUUUUUAAUGGUUUUUAAAUGCUUUUUAGGGGGGAAUACAAGUUUAACACAAUAUUAAGUUGUGUUAAUAACUGUAUGUGAUAAUAAUCACACAAAGAGUUUCCAUAUGCUUUUAAUAAUUAUCAAAUACAUCCAAAAUGACUUAAAGCCUUUAAUAUAUAUUAACACAUUAAAGAAGUAAAGAUACAUCAUAUCGAGUUUACAUUAACAAAGGCACCACAUAGAGUACCAGGGUUAGCAAACACGGGGUAAUAAUACAUCAUAUUGGGUUUGCAUUAACAAAGGUACGAUACAGAGUACCAGGGUUAGCAAACACGGGGUAAUAAUACAUCAUACUGGGUUUGCAUUAACAAAGGUACGAUACAUAGUACCAGGGUUAGCAAUCACGUGGUAAUAAUACAUCGUAAAUCUCGUUGAAACAAUAAACUUGUGAGACACUUCAUGGUGUAGUUAUCUAAGUAUGACCUUAAGUCCUGACUUAUUAACCAGAAUCUUCUGUAGGGAGGGCAUGAAUUUGUGUAUAGAUCUAUAUGGGACUGACAAUCCUGCACCUUCACUGUUCGCUUCAGUUUGGCCGGCAGGCCUAGGGUAUCAAAUGUCACAUCGUUUCCGAUGCCUGAAGAACGUCGCAUUAGGCACAUCGGUCAUAUUAGUAUGGUUAAUAGAACUCACAUGGAUAAAACAACGAGUGAAUUAAUAAGUAAUAUACUUCUCUUAGAACAGUAAGAAAAGAUAAUUACAUCCCGACCAAGUAUACCUUCUGUAGUUUUUACUUAUAGUAAAAGCUACGUAUCAUGAAAUCAAGUAUGGUAAAUAUACUUGUACUUCUGGUUUUGAAAAUUUAAAACCACAAGGUAGUCUUAUGGAUAAUAUAAUGUUUUCCAGGAUUAAUACUAAGGUUUUUACUAUAGAAC